rnacentral:rRNA from 1 species
UACGAAGGGGGCGAGCGUUGUUCGGAUUUACUGGGCGUAAAGGGCGCGCAGGCGGCCGCAUUUGUCAGGCGUGAAAGCCCCGGGCUUAACCUGGGAACUGCGUUUGAUACGGUGUGGCUAGAGUUCGGGAGAGGAGAGUGGAAUUCCCAGUGUAGAGGUGAAAUUCGUAGAUAUUGGGAAGAACACCAGUGGCGAAGGCGGCUCACUGGCCCGGUACUGACGCUGAGGUGCGAAAGCGUGGGGAGCAAACAGG